AUCCAGCUGACGAGUCCCAAAUAAGACGAGACACGCAUCCUGGAU
rfam:Schistosoma curassoni strain Dakar, Senegal genome assembly, scaffold: SCTD_scaffold0010266